CAAUGUCAAGGUGAUCUGACUAUGACAUCUGUCAUCCCAGUGACCACCGGGGUUGAUUGGGUUGAUGUGUUAGGCUAGGCAAGUGGCCUCUUCCUCCCUCACCACCUCACAUGCCUCCCUCUUGAAGCUGUGUGCUCGCUCAAAGAGGAAGGACUUCCCUAGUGGAGGAGGACUAUUCUUUGUUCAAGGGCAUAGGAGUAGCUGUGCUCCCUUGCUAGACCCUCCGAACAAACUCUCAAGGUCCAUUUGUAGGAGAACAUAGGACUCUAUUUUAUUAUUAUUUAAAAAAAGACAUCACUCAUUGUUUUGGAUUUUGAU
ensembl:misc_RNA 7SK 7SK RNA